AAAUUACGAAUCAAUAAUAUUAAUAUAAAAUUUUAUCCGAAAAACUCACCACUAAAUGCAUAAACAAACCCUAAACCCUAUAAUCCUAAGCAUUAUUCUAAACCAAACCUUAAACCCAACCUAAACCAAACGCUAAACCUUUCCUACUUAACCCUAAACCCUACCUAAACCUAUACAUAAAUCUAACCCUAAACCCUACAUAAACCUAACCCUAAUCCCUAACCCUUCAUACUACCUAAACCCUAAACUUAUCUAACCGCAAACCGACCUAACCCUAAACGUAAACCCUACCUAACCCUAAACCCUACCUAACCCUAAACCCAUCCUAACCCUAAACCCUUCCUAACCCUAAAACCCUACCUAACCCUAACCCUAAACCCUACCUAACCCUAAACCCUACUAACCCUAAACCCUACAUAAACCUAAACCCUACUAACCCUACCUAACCUAAACCCUACAUAACCUAAAACCUUUCUAACCCUAAACCCUUUCUAACCCUAAACCCUUUCUAUCCCUAAACCCUACCUAACCUUUAACCCUACUAACCCUAAACCCUACUAACCUUAAACCCUACUAACCCUAAACCCUUUCUAACCCUAAACCCUACCUAACCCUAAACCCUACCUAACCCUAAACCCUACCUAACCCUAAACCCUACCUAACCCUAAACCCUACCUAACCCUAAACCCUACCUAACCCUAAACCCUACCUAACCCUAAACCCUACCUAACCCUAAACCCUACCUAACCCUAAACCCUUUCUAACCCUAAACCCUACCUAAACCUAACCCAAAAACCCUAUCUAAACCUAACCAUAAAUCCCAUCUAACGCUAAAAUUCUACCAACCCUAAAUACUAAAAAAUAAUCUCAAAACUUAAAGCUAAAAAAACCUAAAUUAUACCGCUAUGUAAUUUGGUUGUUGUGAUAUUCAACUAACAAAUUAUAUUGUGAAUUUUAAAUCUUACAUCCAUUAUUUUAAUUGCCAAAAUAUUUUGAAAGUCACAUCUUAUGAAUAAAAAAGGUAAAUUAUAUUUUAAUAACGUUAAAUUUUGUUAAAAUAGAAUGAAAAACAAUUAUCACAAAUAAUUUGUCUAAACCCUAAACCCUACUAACUCUAAACCCUACUAACCCUAAACCCUACUAACCCUAAACCCUACCUAACCCUAAACCCUACCUAACCCUAAACCCUACUAACCCUAAAGCCUACCUAACCCUAAACCGUACCAACCCUAAACCCUACCUAACCCCAAACUCUACCUAACCCUAAACCCUACCUACCCUAAAAUCCUACCUAACCCUAAACCCUUCCUAACCCUAAACCCUACCUAACCCUAAACCCUGCUAACCCUAAACCCUGCCUAAACAUAAAUCCUAUCUAACGCUAAAACUCUACCAACCCUAAACACGAAAAAAUAAUCUCAAAACUUAAAGCUAAAAAAACCUAAACUCUACCGCUAUGUAAUUUGUUGUUGUGAUAUUCA
rnacentral:lncRNA from 1 species